rnacentral:rRNA from 1 species
UACGUAGGGUGCAAGCGUUGUCCGGAAUUAUUGGGCGUAAAGAGCUUGUAGGCGGUUUGUCGCGUCUGCCGUGAAAAUCCGGGGCUCAACCCCGAGCCUGCAGUCGAUACGGGCAGACUAGAGUGCUGUAGGGGAGACUGGAAUUCCUGGUGUAGCGGUGAAAUGCGCAGAUAUCAGGAAGAACACCUAUGGCGAAGGCAGCUCGCUGGGACGGUACUGACGCUGAGACGCGAAAGCGUGGGGAGCAAACAGG